GGCCUCGUAACUCAGCUGGUAGAGCAUGCGCGUACAAAGCGUGGGCGGUGUCCAUGCCUGGUGGGUUCGAAUCCCACCGAGGCUA
rnacentral:tRNA from 1 species